GCCUGGGUGGCUCAGUCGGUUGAGCAUCCGACUUUGACUCAGGUCAUGCAUGAUCUCAUGGCUUGUGGGUUUGAGCCCCGCGUCAAGCU
rnacentral:tRNA from 1 species